rnacentral:rRNA from 1 species
UUUCCCUACGGGGGGCAGCAGUGAGGAAUAUUGGUCAAUGGUCGGGAGACUGAACCAGCCAAGCCGCGUGAGGGAUGAAGGUACAGAGUAUCGUAAACCUCUUUUGUCAGGGAACAAAGGCGGGGACGUGUCCCCGGAUGAGUGUACCUGAAGAAAAAGCAUCGGCUAACUCCGUGCCAGCAGCCGCGGUAAUACGGAGGAUGCGGGCGUUAUCCGGAUUUAUUGGGUUUAAAGGGUGCGCAGGCGGAUUUUU